GCUGAGCUGAGUCCGGCCUGAUUCCUCUGCCGCUGAGUUGGGCAGGCGCGGAGAUGUCGACGCUUCUUCCUUCAAAUCUCCCAAUUCCACUGGAGGGGAUGGUUUGUUCAACGGUUUCUCUGGAUCGAUGCAGCGGGCUGCGGGGAAUCAGCAGCAGCAGCAGCAUUUUCAUCAGGCUCAGCAGCAGAAUUUUGGGGCGGCGCCGGCUUCGG